CAGUCGCCGCGGUAAUACGUAGGGUGCAAGCGUUAAUCGGAAUUACUGGGCGUAAAGCGUGCGCAGGCGGUUUGUUAAGACAGAUGUGAAAUCCCCGGGCUCAACCUGGGAACUGCAUUUGUGACUGGCAAGCUAGAGUGUGGCAGAGGGGGGUGGAAUUCCGCGUAGCAGUGAAAUGCGUAGAUAUGCGGAGGAACACCGAUGGCGAAGGCAGCCCCCUGGGCCAACACUGACGCUCAUGCACGAAAGCGUGGGGAGCAAACAGGAUUAGAUACCCCGGUAGUCCCUGUCUCUUAUACAC
rnacentral:rRNA from 1 species